AAGAAGCACAAUUAGUCAUCAGAUUGGAUUCCUAUCUGCUUCUCUGAAACAGUAAAAGUCUCAGAGGAACUUUUAAAUUUUUUUGGUUAAAUACUAAGUUAAAAAGUUAGACUGAGCUCGCAGAGAUCUAUUAAUGAUAUGCAGGCCAAUACUCUGCGUCUUGGCAAGUACUCUGUCUAGUGUGUCAAUGAAUGAAGCUGAGUGUUUUUUUUAAAACUAAAUAUAUGACUAGUGGUUUAGAAAAAGGUAAAUAGAGCUAAAAAGGAAAACCAAAACUUCAAUAGCACUGUACAGAAACUCCUAGUAAUGUAAAUCAAAAUCUACUGAGAAGAGAG